AACGAACGCUGGCGGCAGGCCUAACACAUGCAAGUCGAACGCCCCGCAAGGGGAGUGGCAGACGGGUGAGUAACGCGUGGGAACCUACCUUUCGGUGCGGAAUAACUUCGGGAAACCAAAGCUAAUACCGCAUACGCCCUACGGGGGAAAGAUUUAUCGCCGAUAGAUGGGCCCGCGUCGGAUUAGCUAGUUGGUGAGGUAACGGCUCACCAAGGCUACGAUCCGUAGCUGGUCUGAGAGGAUGAUCAGCCACACUGGGACUGAGACACGGCCCAGACUCCUACGGGAGGCAGCAGUGGGGAAUAUUGGACAAUGGGCGCAAGCCUGAUCCAGCCAUGCCGCGUGAGUGAAGAGGGCCUUAGGGUUGUAAAGCUCUUUUAGUGGGGACGAUAAUGACGGUACCCACAGAAUAAGCCCCGGCUAACUUCGUGCCAGCCGCCGCAGUAA
rnacentral:rRNA from 1 species